rnacentral:rRNA from 1 species
UACGUAGGCAGCGAGCGUUGUUCGGAAUUACUGGGCGUAAAGAGUGUGUAGGCGGUGCUCUAAGUUCGGUGUGAAAUCUCCUGGCUUAACUGGGAGGGUGCGCCGGAAACUGGAGUGCUUGAGCGUGGGAGAGGAAAGCGGAAUUCCUGGUGUAGCGGUGAAAUGCGUAGAUAUCAGGAGGAACACCUGUGGUGUAGACGGCUUUCUGGACCAUUGCUGACGCUGAGACACGAAAGCGUGGGUAGCAAACAGG